rnacentral:rRNA from 1 species
GACGAACGCUGGCGGCGUGCUUAACACAUGCAAGUCGUACGGUAAGGCCCUUUUGUGGGUACACGCUUGACUGACGGGUGAGUAACACGUACGUAACUUGCCCACACCUUUCGGAUAACGAUAGUAAACUGAUGCUAAUUCUGAAUAUGUACUCCCUCUGCCUGCUUGGGGUUGGAAAGCUCCGGGGGUUGUGGGUGGACUCACUGCCUAACUGCUUGUUGGUGGGGUAGUGGGCUACCAAGGCGGCGUCGGGUAGCCGGCCUGGGAGGGUGAACGGCCAAAAUGGGACUGGGGUAAGGCCCAGACCCCUAAGGGGAGGAAGAGGGGGGAAUAUUGGAAAAAGGGGGCAAGCCUGAUGCAGCAACGCCGCGGGGGGGAAGACGGGCUUCGGGGUGGAAACCGCCUUCAGCAGGGACGGAGCUGUGUGUGACGGUACCUGCAGAAGAAGCACCGGCUAACUACGUG